GGGGUUGUAGCUCAAUGGUGGAGCACUCGCCUAGCACAUGUGAGGCCCUGGGUUCGAUCCUCAGCACCACA
rnacentral:tRNA from 1 species